rnacentral:rRNA from 1 species
UACGUAGGGUGCAAGCGUUAAUCGGAAUUACUGGGCGUAAAGCGUGCGCAGGCGGCUUUGCAAGACAGAUGUGAAAUCCCCGGGCUUAACCUAGGGAAUGGCAUUUGGGACUGCAAGGCUCGAGUGCGGCAGAGGAGACUGGAAUUCCUGGUGUAGCAGUGAAAUGCGUAGAUAUCAGGAGGAACACCGAUGGCGAAGGCAGGUCUCUGGGCUGACACUGACGCUCAUGCACGAAAGCG